UACGUAGGGUGCAAGCGUUGUCCGGAAUUAUUGGGCGUAAAGAGCUCGUAGGCGGUCUGUCGCGUCUGGUGUGAAAAUCCAGGGCUUAACCCUGGACCUGCAUCGGGUACGGGCAGACUAGAGUGCGGUAGGGGAGAUCGGAAUUCCUGGUGUAGCGGUGAAAUGCGCAGAUAUCAACUGGAAUGCCGAUGGGGAAGCCGUCCGGCUGGGCCUGUCCUGACACUGAGGCACGAAAGCGUGGGGAGCAAACAGG
rnacentral:rRNA from 1 species